AACGGCUGCCCAGUAAAGAUUUCGGUCUUUACGGGUGGCGAGUGGCGGACGGGUGAGUAAAGCGUAGGAAUCUGUCCUGGAGAGUGGGAUAACCCGAGGAAACUCGGGCUAAUACCGCAUGAUAUCGAGAGAUCAAAGCAGGGGACCCUUCGGGGCCUUGCGCUCUAGGAUGAGCCUACGUCGGAUUAGCUAGUUGGUGGGGGGGGGGACGGCCUACGCAAGCAACCAUACCUGGUUGGACAGAAAGAACGACCACCCUGGCUGGGACAGACACCCCUCACUCAUUCCUAAGGGAGCCAUGGGUAAUCUUGCUUGAUGGAGGAAACCAUGCCCGAUCCAUGCCUGCCGUGUGAGUAAAGACUUCCUUUUGUUUGGAACUUUAUUUGGGGGAGAAAAAAAAUGAAUGAAUAACUGAUUGAUUGGACUGACCCCGCCCAAAAAACACCCGCUAGCUCUGUGUGGGCCACCGCGGUAAUAAAUAGGGAGGGUGCGUUAAUCAAACUGACUGGCUGGACAGGAAGUGUAUGUGGUUGACUAACUUUGAUGUGAAUUCCCUCGCCGUAAUCAGCCAGUUGCUUCGAACACAGAUCGACUAAAUAGAGAUAGAUAGAUGUGUAUGUUCCUUCCUAUCUGUCAAAUGCGUGCAUAUCUGACAGAAAAUACAUCGCUGAGGCGAGCACCUGCAUGUUACUUGACUCUGAC
rnacentral:rRNA from 1 species